GGUCCUUGAUUACUGACACCUUACCACCUAAAAUACAUCAGGAGCAACAGCCUUUCCAAGAGACACGCUUGAAAUAACAUUGGCACUGGAAUAAAGCUGCAUCAAAAUGUGGCGAAGGCCCCUCACGUUAUACAUGGAAUCACCCAACUUUGCUCGACAAAUUCUAAGCUGGUCCUUGAUUACUGACACCUUACCACCUAAAAUACAUCAGGAGCAACAGCCUUUCCAAGAGACACGCUUGAAAUAACAUUGGCACUGGAAUAAAGCUGCAUCAAAAUGUGGCGAAGGCCCCUCACGUCAUACAUGGAAUCACCCAACUUUGCUCGACAAAUUCUAAGCUGGUCCUUGAUUACUGACACCUUACCACCUGAAAUGUAAAUAAAUAAAGUUAAAAUCAUCACAAAAAAUCAUUAAAAGCCAAUAAACUACCCACCAAAUCUAUCAUGUAUUGGCGUACAAAAUAACUAUUUACAUAACAAUCAAUGUCAGUAAAUACGCAAACAAGUUGUAGACAUCAAGCGCAACAGCCAGUGAAAAUAAAACAAACAUCAGUCAUCAAAAGCCAACAAAUAAAACAAUAAACUACUUACCUUGAUUGCUGACACCUUACCAUCAAACCAGCAAAAAAUAAGACUGCAGAUAUAAUAAGAUUUCAAUUGGCGUAAAAACAAUUGAAAUCACUUUUUCUUUUUCACACCAAUUUUCUUUAAACCUGAAAAUAAAACACUAUACUCAUUAAAAGUCAACAAAUAUAACAACAUAAAUUACCUAACUUGACUGCUUACACUCUAUUACCAAACCUGCAAAUAUAAUAAAAUUAAAUUCAGCCAAAAUACAAUUUAAAACACCUACCAAAUCUGCCGCAAACCUAAAAAAAUAAAACAACUAAAAAAAAAAAAAAGAGCCAACAAAUAUAACAACAUAAACUACACAAAAUUACAUACAAAUUAUUACAAAGCUGAAGACAAAACCUGCCAAUUAAAUAAAUAAAACACAUAUGGUGUACGAAAUUAACUGUAUGUACAUAAUAAAUGUACAUAUGUCAGCAACUAAGCAAGCAGCCAGAAGACAUCCCAACGCAACAUCCAGUGAAUCAACUUGAAAAUAAAAUAAUUAUAUUCAUUAAAAGUCAACAAAUAUAAAAACAUAAUUUACUUAACUUGAUUGCCGACACUCCAUUACCAACAAAAUAUAAACCUGCAAAUAAAAUAAAAUUAAAUUCAUUUUAAUUUCCACAAACAACGCAUCCCGGGUGGCCGGACCAGCAGCCACUCGGCCGAGUGAGCCAAUAAUCAACGACUUUUGACCAACGAUCCACAAACAAUGCAUCCCGGGUGGCCGGAUCAGCAGCCACUCGGUCGAGCGAGCCAAUAAUCAACGACUGUUGACCAACGCAUCCACAAACAAUGCAUCCCGGGUGGCCGGACAUGCAGCCACUCGGUCGAGCGAGCCAAUCUGAAUUUAGUCUAAAAUUAAAAUAAAGCAAAAAAAAAAAAAAAGUAAUAAAUUGUAACCAAUAGUAAUUUGAUAAAUAACGUACUACAUAAGAAAUCGAUAACUCUGUUAGAUUAAUAUGUUGCCAAAACUCUUCAUGUGUCAGUCCUAAUGUUAAAUGUUGCUAGUCUUAGGUAAUAAGAACAUUAAUAAAGAAAGCUUCAGGUCACUCUAAAGUGCCCUGAGCCAGUCAAACCAUUAAAAAAA